rnacentral:rRNA from 1 species
UGGGGAAUUUUGGACAAUGGGCGCAAGCCUGAUCCAGCCAUGCCGCGUGCGGGAAGAAGGCCUUCGGGUUGUAAACCGCUUUUGUCAGGGAAGAAAUCUUCUGAGUUAAUACCUCGGGAGGAUGACGGUACCUGAAAAAUAAGCACCGGCUAACUACGUGCCAGCAGCCGCGGUAAUACGUAGGGUGCAAGCGUUAAUCGGAAUUACUGGGCGUAAAGCGUGCGCAGGCGGUUUUGUAAAGACAGAGGUGAAAUCCCCGGGGCUUAAACCUGGGAAACUGCCUUUGUGACUGCAAGGCUUGAGUGCGGCAGAGGGGGAUGGAAUUCCGCGUGUAGCAGUGAAAUGCGUAGAUAUGCGGAGGAACACCGAUGGCGAAGGCAAUCCCCUGGGCCUGCACUGACGCUCAUGCACGAAAGCGU